UGGAUAGCUCAAUUGGUAGAACACUGGAUUCUUAAUCUUAGGGUUGUGGGUUUGAGCCCCACAUUGGGCAAAA